GCUGCCUUAGCUCAGUUGGUAGAGCGGCUGACUUGUAAUCAGCAGGUCGUGGGUUCGAAUCCUACAGGCAGCACCA
rnacentral:tRNA from 1 species